rnacentral:lncRNA from 1 species
GGACGUGUUUCAUCAUUAUCAAGUAGGUACAAUACCCGCAAGGCUUAAGAGGUGAGGGUGAUAAAAAAAAUUGUAUAAAAAGGAGAGAGAAAAGGCCAGAGACAUCAGUAGAGUGAGCAUCAUCGACACGACAACAACUGCAGUGCACUACCUGUACCAACUACCUUCUUCAUCGCAAUACCAGUUCGCAACAAUGGUUCGCAGUUAUGGUCAACUAUAAUGUCGUGCUGCUGUCGGAUGUUGUAUCGUUGGUGGCUGGGUCGACCAAUAGUGUACCAAUGUCCUUUGGGCACGGGUACCAAACCGCAAUGCCGACGCCUUACUACACAACAACAACAUACGCUUCAGCCGGUUAUCACGCCAUCAAGUCUCCAGUGAAUUACACCACACCUUAUGAUGCCCCGAGCUACUACACCGACGCCCUGAAUUAUAGAUAUCCUUCAGUUGCUGCAAGCAUUAACUGGCUUCGUGAUGCUGUUGAAUGUUGUAUCGUUUCUGGCUGAGUCGACCACUGGUCCCUGGGUAUGGCGGAUACCAAGCCGCAACGCUGCUGUCUUACUACACAGCAACAUACGUAACUACCUGUCGGAACUUCCAAGUACUACACCGAAAAGGCUGAAUGUUACACAAGGACGUAUGCUACCCCAGUUUACUACACCGAGGAACCUAAGCAUUACUCUGCUCCGAGCUACAACAGAGGCUCCUGUUUACUACACCACCAACGCAUCUGAAUGUUACAUGAUAAUCUACGCUGCCCCCAACUACUACACUGGAGCUUCGAAGUGCAACACCACCGAUGCACAAACAAUUUGCAAGCAAGGAGUUAUUUGGUGACCUGAUGCUGUUGAAUCUUGUAUCUUUGAUGCAUAUGACCGUUGUAGUGAUGUUUCCUGGGUAUGGCGGAUAUCAAAUCGCAACGCUACCGUCUUAUUACUCAACAACUUACUCAACGACCUGUUACUACACCGGGACUUCCACUUACUACACUGAAAAGGCUGAAUAUUACACAAGGACGUAUGCUACCUCAGUUUACUACACCGAGGAACCUAAGCAUUACUCUGCUCCGAGCUACAACAGAGGCUUCUGUUUACUACACCACCAACGCAUCUGAAUGUUACAUGAUAAUCUACGCUGCCCCCAACUACUACACUGGAGCUUCGAAGUGCAACACCAUAAAUGUACAACCAAUUUGCAAGCAAGGAGUUAUUUGGUGACGUGUUGCUGUUGAAUCAUAUGACCGUUGUAGUGAUAUUUCUUGGGUAUGGUGGAUAUUAUAUCGCAACGCUACUGUCUUACCACGCAACGCUUCUGUCUUACCACGCAACGCUACUGUCUUACUAUGCCAAAACUUACUCAACGACCUGUUACUACACCGGGAUUUCCAAAUACUACACCGAAAAGGUUGAAUAUUUCACAUGGACAAGGACAAGGCGUCUAUCCCAGUUUACUACACCGAGAAACCUAAACAUUACUGUGCUUCGAACUACAACAUAGGCUCCUGUUUACUAUGCGACCAUCGCUCCCGAGUGUUGUACGCUCCCCCCAACCGCUACACUGAAGCUCCGAAGUACUACACCAUUGAAGGAAAACUAAUUCGCAUUCAAGGAUUAUUAUGCUGUUGAGCUGUUGUUGGAUGUUGUAUCGUUGAUGGCUGGGUCGACCACGAGUGUACCGAUGUCUCCUGGGUAUGGUGGUAUUUCAGUACUAGCAGCUAUAGAAUGGUACACCACGUUGCUGCCUUACUACUUAACAACAUCAACAUACGCAACACCUACUUACUACACUGAUGCUCGUAAAUACCACAUCUCCAAGGCUCCAAGAAUGUACUGUACACGAAUAUCUACGCUGCUCCGAGCUACUGCACGGAAGUAUCACUCUACCCCAAGUUACAUCAACAAAACGUCUGAGUAGUGAGUACUACACUAAGGAUCUCAAAUACUACACCACCAAAGCUACAAAGCACUGCACCGAGGCUGUAGCUUGUUAAACCACCAAAGCGGUCGAGUACCGAGGGGUUUAAGUACUACCCCUUAACCUACUGCAGAGCAGUAUUUGUCAACAACUGCCAUAAUCGUAUGAAAUGUUCGCAAUCAUGGUAUACUGUGAUGUUGUGCUGCUGUUGAGGAUGGAUUCAUCGUUGAAAGCUGGGUUGAUCAUUGGUCUACUGAGGCCCCUGGAUAUGACGGUGCAUCACCAAAGUGCAUCACCAAAGAGCCAGCAAAUUACAUCGAGGUUUUUAAGUACUACACUACUAAGUACACCACUAAGGCGCCGGUACCAGAAUACUACACUACGCAUACUACCCCUGCCUACUACACCGGGGUCCUUAAUUACUACAACACCCGGCAACAAUUGAACUCUUCAAAUUCUCAA